rnacentral:rRNA from 1 species
AGAGUUUGAUCAUGGGCUCAGGACGAACGCUGGCGGCGUGCCUAACACAUGCAAGCCGAACGGAGUUAGUAGCAAUACUAACUUAGUGGCGGACGGGUGAGUAACGCGUGGGCAACCUGCCUUACAGAGGGGGAUAACAGUGCGAAAGCACUGCUAAUACCGCAUGAUAUUCGAGAGUCGCAUGACUUUUGAAUCAAAGGAGUAAUCCGCUGUAAGAUGGGCCCGCGUCUGAUUAGCUAGUUGGUGAGGUAAAAGCUCACCAAGGCGACGAUCAGUAGCCGAUCUGAGAGGAUGAACGGCCACACUGGAACUGAGACACGGUCCAGACUCCUACGGGAGGCAGCAGUGGGGAAUAUUGCACAAUGGGGGAAACCCUGAUGCAGCAACGCCGCGUGGAGGACGAAGGCCUUCGGGUUGAAAACUCCUGUCUUUUGGGACGAAUAAAUGACGGUACCAAAGGAGGAAGCCACGGCUAACUACGUGCCAGCAGCCGCGGUAAUACGUAGGUGGCAAGCGUUGUCCGGAAUUAUUGGGCGUAAAGGGCGCGUAGGCGGCGUCUUAAGUCAGAUGUGAAAACCCCGGGCUUAACUUGGGAACUGCAUCUGAUACUGGGACGCUAGAGUGCAGGAGAGGUAAGUGGUAUUCCUAGUGUAGCGGUGAAAUGCGUAGAUAUUAGGAGGAACACCAGUGGCGAAGGCGACUUACUGGACUGUAACUGACGCUGAGGCGCGAAAGCGUGGGGAGCAAACAGGAUUAGAUACCCUGGUAGUCCACGCUGUAAACGAUGGAUACUAGGUGUGGGAGGUAUCGACCCCUUCCGUGCCGCAGUAAACGCAAUAAGUAUCCCGCCUGGGGAGUACGGCCGCAAGGUUGAAACUCAAAUGAAUUGACGG